GAUGAACGCUGGCGGCGUGCCUAAUACAUGCAAGUCGAGCGAACAGACGAGGAGCUUGCUCCUCUGACGUUAGCGGCGGACGGGUGAGUAACACGUGGAUAACCUACCUAUAAGACUGGGAUAACUUCGGGAAACCGGAGCUAAUACCGGAUAAUAUAUUGAACCGCAUGGUUCAAUAGUGAAAGACGGUUUUGCUGUCACUUAUAGAUGGAUCCGCGCCGCAUUAGCUAGUUGGUAAGGUAACGGCUUACCAAGGCGACGAAGCGUAGCCGACCUGAGAGGGUGAUCGGCCACACUGGAACUGAGACACGGUCCAGACUCCUACGGGAGGCAGCAGUAGGGAAUCUUCCGCAAAGGGCGAAAGCCUGACGGAGCAACGCCGCGUGAGUGAUGAAGGUCUUCGGAUCGUAAAACUCUGUUAUUAGGGAAGAACAAAUGUGUAAGUAACUAUGCACGUCUUGACGGUACCUAAUCAGAAAGCCACGGCUAACUACGUG
rnacentral:rRNA from 1 species